AAGUCGUAACAAGGUUUCCGUAGGUGAACCUGCGGAAGGAUCAUUAACACGUAUCCAAACGUUAAAACCCCCCCCCGUGAACCUUCAUCCUGCUCUUGUAACCCGCGUAGUUGGCUACGUGCGAACAUUGGAACAGUUACAAUCGAGCGGUAGUUCUAUAGGCAAUGUUUCCCCAAGCAGUCAGUGUCGGAAAGUGUCAUUGAUUGUGCAAGGAUAGCGCUUCUACGAUUCCUGUAGACCGUACACUCGGGCAGGAGCUUUGCCAAAGGGUCCCCAUGCCCCCUAAUAACCCCACAGUUUAAUGUGAAGCUCAAUGUAAUACAUUGGGUAAAAAAACCGAACAACUGUUAACAAUGGAUAUCUUGGUUCUC
rnacentral:misc_RNA from 1 species